rnacentral:rRNA from 1 species
AUGAACGCUGGCGGCGUGCCUAAUCCAUGCAAGUCGAGCGAACGGACGAGAAGCUUGCUUCUCUGAUGUUAGCGGCGGACGGGUGAGUAACACGUGGAUAACCUACCUAUAAGACUGGGAUAACUUCGGGAAACCGUAGCUAAUACCGGAUAAUAUUUUGAACCGCAUGGUUCAAAAGUGAAAGACGGUCUUGCUGUCACUUAUAGAUGGAUCCGCGCUGCAUUAGCUAGUUGGUAAGGUAACGGCUUACCAAGGCAACGAUGCAUAGCCGACCUGAGAGGGUGAUCGGCCACACUGGAGCUGAGACACGGUCCAGACUCCUACGGGAGGCAGCAGUAGGGAAUCUUCCGCAAUGGGCGAAAGCCUGACGGAGCAACGCCGCGUGAGUGAUGAAGGUCUUCGGAUCGUAAAACUCUGUUAUUAGGGAAGAACAUAUGUGUAAGUAACUGUGCACAUCUUGACGGUACCUAAUCAGAAAGCCACGGCUAACUACGUG